rnacentral:tRNA from 1 species
GGCUCAGUGGCUGAGUGGUAAAGUGCUUAGCUUCCAAACUGGAGGUCCCGGGUUCAAAUCCUGGUGAAGACU